GGAGGGUGCAAGCGUUAUCCGGAAUUAUUGGGUUUAAAGGGUGCGUAGGCGGGAUGAUAAGUCAGUGGUGAAAUCUUACAGCUUAACUGUAAAACUGCCAUUGAUGCUAUCGUUCUUGAAUACAAUUGAAGUGGGCGGAAUGUGUCAUGUAGCGGUGAAAUGCUUAGAUAUGACACAGAACACCUAUUGCGAAGGCAGCUCACUAAGUUGUUAUUGACGCUGAGGCACGAAAGCGUGGGGAGCGAACAGGAUUAGAUACCCUGGUAGUCCACGCCCGUAAACGAUGAUUACUCGGUAUUGGCGAUACACUGUCAGUACCCAAGCGAAAGUUUUAAGUAAUCCACCUGGGAAGUACGUCGGCAACGAUG
rnacentral:rRNA from 1 species